GAAUGCCUUCCCAAAUCAACUUGAUGAAGUUGUUGUAAACCAAGCUUUUUGUGAUGAUAUUCUUGCCACACCUUUUUUUUGAAAAAAAUAAAUACAGACUUAUCAUAAACUACAUGUGGAUGGACAUAUUCUAGUAAAUCAGUUACAAAGUUCAUGUAUGCCACAGUUGAUGAAUUUUUAAUAUUAGUAGGCAUGGAUUCUAGUAACUCAUAUGUAAAGGACUGAUUAUGGUAAAUCAUUCCCAGAAGGCAUGGAUUCUUGUAAUUCAUAUGUCACAUGCAUGAUCAAGAACAUACAACAGAAGUGAUUUUUCUCUACUAAGCGUGUGAAGACACAUUGACAUAGAUGCUGCCAGCUACGUGUCAAGCUCUGUUUUUAUCUGUUUCUGUUGCAAAGCCUUAAAUUAGUUCCAUAUUUUCAGAUUUAUUGGACAAAAGAGCUGAUAUAGUUAACAGAGUCAAAGAUUUAACUAUUAGUCCCAAUUACCUAGCGAUAGGUUUGCUUGGAGUAUAUAGAGUUAUUCUUAAAUAUUUCGAAGUAUAAUGAAAGCUCUCUGGAGUGCUCAUAUUAUCUACUCCUGAUCCUUUCAUGACGAUCUUUUAGGAGAUGAAACCUCGGUGUCAAAUGCAGUGGGAUUCGGCCUUUCUCCACUAUGAUUCCAUCUAUUUUUAGGUAAUGAGACCUGGGAAAAAUGCCAAGCAUCACUGCACCUACAUUUGAGAGCAGCAGACAAGCAUGGUGAUUCUGUUAGUGCUCUGUGUUGGAGUGGCGCCAGCGCCAGAUAGAAUGUGCAAGCAAGCAAUCCAGAUUUGGGAGGGAUUAUUAUGGUAAUUUUGAAUAUAAAUAUUUCAUUGUGGUAACUCGGUUGUGGUAUUUAUUCUGACAUUGUAGUAAACUAAA